rnacentral:rRNA from 1 species
CCCCCAAGGGCAUGUGCACGCCUUCUCUUUUCAUCCACACACACCUGUGCACUUGUGAGACGGAGGAUUAAUUUUCCUCCGUCUACUAAUCACACAAACUCAUUGUAAUUGAACUGAAUGUAAUUGAUGUAACACAUCAUUUGAACUAAGUUUCAACAACGGAUCUCUUGGCUCUCGCAUCGAUGAAGAACGCAGCGAAAUGCGAUAAGUAAUGUGAAUUGCAGAAUUCAGUGAAUCAUCGAAUCUUUGAACGCAUCUUGCGCUCCUUGGUAUUCCUUGGAGCAUGCCUGUUUGAGUAUCAUGAGCAAAUCUCAAAGUCAAUUCCUUUUGUUAAUUCAAUUGGUUUUGCUUUGGACUUGGAGGUCUUGCAGAUUUCACAGUCUGCUCCUCUUAAAUCCAUUAGCUGGAUCUCAGUAAUUAUGCUUGGUUCCACUCGGCGUGAUAAGUAUCACUCGCUGAGGACACUGUUAAAAAGGUGGCCAGGAAAAUACUGAUUGAAACCGCUUCUAA